rnacentral:tRNA from 1 species
GUUUCUGUGGCGCAAUCGGUUAGCGUGCGGUACUUAUAUUGCCGAGGUUGUGAGUUCGAGCCUCACCUGGAGCA